AAAGCAGGCUGCAAUUACAGUGCUUCAUUCUGUGGGAGUACUGCCAUUCCCCUGCUGAGAGUAACUCUGUUAAUGCUGGCUUUGAUUUCACCAGUCGGUUGAUGAAAUCAUUCCCCUUUAACAUGCACAAAU
rnacentral:snoRNA from 1 species